GACGAACGCUGGCGGCGUGCCUAACACAUGCAAGUCGAACGGAACUUACCGAAUGAAGCUUUCGGGUGGAUUUUGAUAAGUUUAGUGGCGGACGGGUGAGUAACGCGUGAGUAACCUGCCUUCAAGAGGGGAAUAACGUUCUGAAAAGAACGCUAAUACCGCAUAACAUACGGAUGUCGCAUGGCAACCGUAUCAAAGAUUUUAUCGCUUGAAGAUGGACUCGCGUCCGAUUAGCCAGUUGGCGGGGUAACGGCCCACCAAAGCGACGAUGGAUAGGGGUUCUGAGAGGAAGGUCCCCCACAUUGGAACUGAGACACGGUCCAA
rnacentral:rRNA from 1 species